rnacentral:tRNA from 1 species
UAGCUUAGCGGCAUAAGCGCCUGCCUUGCAAGCAGGCAGUCCUGAGUUCGAUCCCCUG